GAUAUGACCCUUGGACAGCCUUCCUUUGAUCAGGCAGCCAAUGUGUGUUUAGUUCUCCAUCCGAAAUAUCGUUGAAACUCUCAUUGAUGUUGGGACAAGGCAUAUUGUGCUUUCAGCCUUCAUGAUCGUGUGGGCCCAACCGAACAGCUGAUAGGUCUGUUUCUCCUAUGUUCGUUUCAGUGCCAGUGGAAAGUGAUCAUGGAUACAACAAAAAGAAUGCGAAUCGUUUUAGCAAAUACCCCAAAUAAGCAAUCUGGUAGAAAAUUCUUUUUCAAUUGUAUAAUCAGCGUCAUGAUAGCGCUCGAACUGUCGUCUUACUGUAAAGCUCAGUGCUCAAAUCCCGGGGAAACAUUGGAGUUUAAUUCAAGACCUCAACUACUGAAAUCGACAAUCUACCCGUGCUCGUGGAAGAUUGCUGUUCCAGAUGCAGAACGCA